UCCCUGAUGGUCCAGUGACUAAGAUUCCGCACUCCCAAUGCAGGGGCCCCAGGUUCAACCCCUGGACAGGGAA
rfam:TPA: Bos taurus chromosome 10, whole genome shotgun sequence.